CCUACGGGUGGCUGCAGUGGGGAAUAUUGGACAAUGGGGGGAACCCUGAUCCAGCCAUGCCGCGUGUGUGAAGAAGGCCCUCGGGUUGUAAAGCACUUUCAGUGAGGAAGAACGCCUGGUGGUUAAUACCCAUCAGGAAAGACAUCACUCACAGAAGAAGCACCGGCUAACUCCGUGCCAGCAGCCGCGGUAAUACGGAGGGUGCGAGCGUUAAUCGGAAUUACUGGGCGUAAAGCGCGCGUAGGUGGCUUGAUAAGCCGGUUGUGAAAGCCCCGGGCUCAACCUGGGAACGGCAUCCGGAACUGUCAAGCUAGAGUGCAGGAGAGGAAGGUAGAAUUCCCGGUGUAGCGGUGAAAUGCGUAGAGAUCGGGAGGAAUACCAGUGGCGAAGGCGGCCUUCUGGACUGACACUGACACUGAGGUGCGAAAGCGUGGGUAGCAAACAGGAUUAGAUACCACUGUAGUC
rnacentral:rRNA from 1 species